CCUACGGGAGGCAGCAGUGAGGAAUAUUGGUCAAUGGGCGCGAGCCUGAACCAGCCAAGUCGCGUGAGGGAAGACGGUCCUAUGGAUUGUAAACUUCUUUUGUCGGGGAGCAAAAGACGCCACGCGUGGCGUUCCGAGAGUACCCUAAGAAAAAGCAUCGGCUAACUCCGUGCCAGCAGCCGCGGUAAUACGGAGGAUGCGAGCGUUAUCCGGAUUUAUUGGGUUUAAGGGGUGCGCAGGCGGAAGAUCAAGUCAGCGGUAAAAUUGAGGGGCUAAACCUCGUAGUGCCGUUGAAACUGGUUGUCUUGAGUGAGUGAGAAGUAUGCGGAAUGCGUGGUGUAGCGGUGAAAUGCAUAGAUAUCACGCAGAACACCGAUUGCGAAGGCAGCAUACCGGCGCUCAACUGACGCUGAUGCACGAAAGUGUGGGUAUCGAACAGGAUUAGAUACCCCAGUAGUC
rnacentral:rRNA from 1 species